UCUGUUAGCCGGGUCUUAGGGGGGGAAAGGAGUGGGACUGACUGGGAGCAGCUGUGGCAAAAUGUCCAAGUAAUCUCGAAAGAAAAGCGAACUUGCGCAGGAGGAAAACAUUGCAGCCCGUUUUUUGGGGUGGAAAUGAGGAAAGCGGCGGGUUCUGGGCGCUAGGACGCGGGGGUGGGUAGUGUGGCGUGGUGGAGGAGGCGGAUUGGAGUGUUUUUUUUUUUUCAGGACUGACUGGAGUGGAAAGAAAAUAACAGCCACAGAGAGUUAACCUAACUAGCUAAAAAACAAGAGGACUGGCUUCAGACCGACAAUAAAAGCGCUUAUUCCCGUCAAGUGGAUUGCCAAUACCUACUGGAAGGCAGGACGGGUUGUUUGUCUUGUGUUUUUGUGAGGUUUGGGCGCUUUAUUCUUCAUAUUUUGUGUGGAAAUUUUUAAUUUUUCUGUCUUUUUCUGGCUAAACUCGAAACUCAGGAAACAAUGAAGACAUAACUCAUCGAGUGGCCGUCAGCUAGCCUGGCUAGCUAGCUAGCAAGCAAGCAGGCAUCGUGUGGAGCGAGCGAGCUAGCUAGCUUAGCUAACCUAGCUAGGUUAGCCCUAGCUAGCUAACGUAGCUAGUUAAGCGAGCUAGCGUAGCUAGGAGACAGCCACAGCUAGCCUGGGAGCUAGCUAGCUAGUCCAGCUGAGCUGAGCUGAGCUAAGUUGAGCUUAGCUGAGUUUCCCCCCUUGAGGAAAGUUUAUUGUACGUCUUUUUUUCCACACACUUGAGGAAAUAUUUGAACGUGGAGGAGUUUAAGGAUAGAGAACCGCACAGCCGCAAACGCCCCGCAGCCCCGCUUCUCCACCGCUUUCCCUGCCUUCAAUGGACGCGGAGGUCAGAAACGAAGACCGGCCCACCGUACAGCCAGGGAGCGGGCUUACGGCCUUUUACCCCAAAACCAGCCGGCUGCGGGUGAGCGAAUUCCGCCAGCAGCCUUCCCACACGCCGCUUGACAACCUCUCCGACCUGAUGAUUUACCCAGUGGCGGGGGAAGAGCUGUCUGCCGCGGGGAGUGGCAGCGGCGGUAGCGGCCAGCCCGGGGCUCAUGGAUCAGGGAGCUCAGGGACUGCAGCUGCUGCCGGCGGAGGCGGCGGCUGCUAUUCCCCCACUUUAGAGGGACCAGAUACCCGGAUGUCUCCCACCUCGGCCGGCACGGACGGGCUGUCCGCCUUCCCUCCGCUGCCCCCGCCGCCACUUCCACCUCUUGCCUACGGGGCUCACGGCAGCGUGGACGAGAGUGACCAGCAGGAUGGACCAGAAUGCGAGGAAGAGGAGGCUGUGUUCUCCCUCUCCGCGCCACCCACUAACCAAUGGUACCAUGGGAAGCUAGACAGGACCAUUGCCGAGGAGAGGCUGCGCCAGGCCAGGAAUCCGGGCAGCUACCUGAUCAGGGAGAGCGACCGGCGGCCUGGGUCCUUUGUGCUGUCCUUCCUCAGCAUGACCAAUGUGGUCAACCAUUUCAGAAUCAUUGCCAUGUGUGGGGAUUACUACAUCGGUGGGAGGCGUUUCUCUUCCCUGUCGGACCUCAUUGGUUAUUACAGCUAUGUGUCUUGCCUACUGAAAGGUGAAAAGCUGCUAUCACCAGUGGCUCCUCCAGAGCCUGUGGAGGACAGGAGAAGAGUAAGGGCCAUCCUGCCAUACACCAAAGUGCCAGAGACAGAUGAAAUCAGUUUCCUUAAAGGAGACAUGUUUAUCGUUCACAAUGAACUUGAAGAUGGCUGGAUGUGGGUGACCAAUGUGAGGACAGAGGAGCAGGGCCUUAUAGUGGACGAUCUGGUGGAGGAGGUGGGACGAGAAGAGGAUCCCCACGAGGGCAAAAUCUGGUACCAUGGAAAAAUCAGCAAGCAAGAGGCGUACAAUCUGCUGAUGACAGUGGGCCAGGUGUGCAGCUUCCUCGUGCGGCCGUCAGACAACACGCCGGGGGACUACUCGCUCUUCUUCCGCACAAAUGAGAACAUCCAAAGGUUCAAAAUCUGCCCCACCCCAACCAACCAGUACAUGAUGGGAGGGAGGUACUACAACAGUGUUGAUGAUAUCAUCGAGCAUUACAGGAAAGAGCAGAUCGUAGAAGGCUAUAACCUGAAAGAUCCCGUUUCAGUCCAGCAACAAGAACAAGUACUCUCUGACACGGUGGAUGGCCGAGAGAUUUACAACACUAUCCGGCGGAAAACGAAAGAUGCUUUCUACAAAAACAUUGUCAAGAAAGGAUACCUCCUCUUCAACAAAGGCAAAGGAAAGCGCUGGAAGAACCUGUACUUCAUCCUGGAGGGCAACGACGCUCAGCUCAUCUACUUCGAGAGCGAGAAGCGAGCAACCAAACCCAAAGGGCUGAUCGACUUGAGCGUGUGCUCUGUGUAUGAAGUGCAUGAGAGUCUGUUUGGCAGGCCAAACUGUUUCCAGAUUGUGGUUCAGCACUUUAGUGAGGAGCAGUACAUUUUCUACUUUGCAGGAGAUAUACCUGAGCAGGCCCAGGACUGGAUGAAAUGCCUGCAAACCUUCUGCAGUAACCUGAGGAAGCCUGUACAGACCACCUCUAACAAACGGCUACGCCAGGUAAGCAGGUUGGUGCUUUAUGUGGAAGAGGCCCACAAACUUCCCAUGAAGCAUUUCACCAACCCCUAUUGCAACAUCUACCUGAACAGUGUGCAGGUAGCCAAGACUCACCCCAGAGAGGGCCAGAACCCUGUAUUCACAGAAGAGUUCAUCUUCGAUGACCUAUCCAGUGAAACCAACAGGUUUGAAAUCAGCUUAAGCAACAAAACGAAGAAAAGCAAAGAAAGUGACAUUUUGUUCAUGCGCUGUCAGCUGAACCGGCUGCAGAAGGGCCAGAUGAUUGAUGAGUGGUUCCCUCUGAGCUCUCAUGUGCCCCUGAAGGGAAUUGAACCGGGAUCCCUGCGGGUGCGGGCGCGCUAUUCCAUGGAGAAAAUCAUGCCAGAGGAGGAGUACAGUGAAUUCAAAGAGCUCAUCCUACAAAAAGACUUCCACGUGAUCUAUGCGCUGGCCCAUGUGUGUGGACAGGACCGCACCCUGCUGGCCAGCAUCCUGCUCAGGAUCUUCAGACAUGAGAAAGCCGAGGCUCCCCUGCUCAGGACUCUCAACGACCGAGAGAUUAACAUGGAAGAUGAAGCCACCACUUUGUUUCGUGCAACCACGCUGGCCAGCACUUUAAUGGAGCAGUACAUGAAGGCCACGGCCACACCUUUCGUCCACCAUGCCCUUAAAGACACCAUUCUCAAGAUCAUGGAGAGCAAGCAGUCCUGCGAGCUGAACCCGUCCAAACUGGAGAAGAACGAGGACGUAAAUAUGAAUCUAACCAAUCUGCUCGGCCUCCUUCACGAGCUGGUGGAGAAAAUCUUCAUGGCUGCUGAAAUCCUGCCACCAACUUUGAGGUUUAUAUACGGGUGCCUGCAGAAGUCAGUGCAGCAGAAAUGGCCCACCAACACUACAAUGCGGACCAGAGUUGUAAGUGGUUUCGUCUUCCUGCGGUUGAUCUGCCCUGCCAUUCUCAACCCCAGAAUGUUCAACAUCAUAGCUGACCCUCCGUCCCCCACGGCAGGCCGUACACUUACCCUAGUGGCCAAGUCGGUCCAGAACCUGGCUAAUCUGGUGGAGUUUGGUGCCAAGGAGCCCUAUAUGGAAGGAGUGAAUCCCUUCAUCAAGAACAACAAACAAAGGAUGAUCAUGUUUCUCGACGAGUUGGGGAACGUCCCUGACCUGCCCGAUGCUACAGAGCACUUUAGGAUAGAUCUGUCCCGAGACCUUGCUGCCCUGCAUGAGAUCUGUGCUACCCACUCGGAUGAACUCCGCACCCUCAGUAAUGAGAGAGGAGCACAGCAGCACGUGCUGAAAAAGCUGCUGGCCAUCACUGAGCUCCUCCAGCAGAAACAGGUGCACUACGCCCUGUCCAACAGCAACAGGUAGUUCCAUUUCCCUCUGUUUGUCAGUCACUCAGUCUGUCUCCGUCUACAUCCAUGGAGUAGCCAGUGGGAUCUCAGCAUGCUCCUCCACCCUCAUCACCAUGGCAGCCUCCCCCCCCCCCCAUCUCUUUCCCCACCACUCUCCUCCCUCCCCUUCUUCUUCAACCACACCACAAGAACUAUGCAACUACAGCAGUGAAAACAAAACCAGACGAAACGAGACAAACAUUUAAAAAAAUACAAAUAAAUAAAAAUACAAAAACAGAAAAAGCCCGGGGCCCAAAUCCUGAUCCUGCACCAGUGACUUUUUUUAAGCUAUUCUCACAUCAACUUCAGUUUGACUGUGCCCCACAUCACGGGUACAAUAUCGGGCUCUUUUUUUUGUUGUCUGUCUCUCUUUCUCUUCCAAAAUGGGUCAGGUCCACAUCGUGACCCACAAUGCUCAGAGUACCAUUGAACAACGGUUGCCAAAGCCUUUUGUUUUGUUUUUUUCUCUCGUCUGCUUCAUAUGAAAACUCAACUGACAAGAAGCUGCAGCAGCGAUCUCCUGUAACUGGAUUAUGAGCUAUAAUGCUUUUUAUACUGUAAUUUGUUACCGAUUUACAAGGUCAUGAAUACAUGAAUAUGCAAAAUGUGCUCAAACUAGUGUUCUCUCUGUUGCAUUUAGUUAUGAUUGUGGUGUAGACUGGAUUUGUUUUUUGUUUUUUUGUUUUCGAAGAGAGUAUGAUUAUUUUAUAUCAGAACAAUAAAUUUCUCUUGCUGGAAUCAUGAGUUAUAUAAUUGGAGUAAUCCCUACCAAUACCCCCUCCCCUUCUUUGUGAUAUAUAUAUAUUUUUCUUGAUUUGAUUGGUUCAGUCUUCCCUGAGAUGAAUUCAAAAGCCAGACUUUGUUUGUUUGUUCUCAGGGGAGGAAUAAAUAAUGUUUACAGCAGUAAGAUUAUAAAAUUAUUAUAGUACAGACUGUAUCAGGAAUGCAUGCACUUAUUAAACAUUUUAUAAAGUACUGACUGACUUAUUUCUCAGACUGCGGGGAGGUGUAAAGUGCAGGACAUUCUUUUUUUUUGUUGUUGAGAAAUGUCAAUUUGUUGAUGCUUUUCUAAAGCAUUUCUGCGCCUUUUUCUUUUGUUUAUUUUUGUUUGUUUUUUUGUAACUAACUCUGGCUCUUGUAAACAAAUGUAAAGAACACUGUUGAAUGAAACAUUACGUACAAAAUUUUUAUUUUCAGUAAAGUAAAUAAAUCGGCAUGACAACCAUGGACAAAUACUGUCUAGGUAUUUACAAAACACCAAAAAAAUAUAUAUAUAUAUUUUAAAUUCUUUAACAUCACAUUUUCUCAGAGCAUCACAUGAUCACACUGUCACAAAGCAUCCAGGUCUUCAUCAGUCCACUCCUACAAAAGUGUACAAACAAAGUAAACAUUCAAACAAAUGGAAAAUGGCACAGAUAAAGACUAAAAUUAAAUAUUUCCUGUUCAAACGGUCCUAAAACUUACCUCCUCAGUAAUCAUGGGCUUUUUCACAACGUGGUCAUCAUCUUCAUAGCCAUGUUUCCUUUUCCUGGAAGACAGAGAAGCACAGAACACUGUUCAUCAAAACCAAACCAGAACCCAGUCAGAUAUCCUCAGCAUGCCAUGUUGGAGAUGUGAUUACAUAGACAAUGUUUUUUUUUUUUUUUUUGUCCUCAGUUUAGCAUCACCUGUACAAGCACAUCUCUAAGCAUGCCGGCGUUCCUCCCCUCCUAUAUCCUCCACCAUGUGUAGCUGUAGACUCAUGUCCAUGUCUUCGGUAGCUUCACGUUUUAGAUACACGUUUUAGUUUCAUGUUAGCUGAGUGUCUCCUCAUCAGAACAAAACCAGACCUGAAUGUACCAUUAUGGCUGCCACUAUUCAAGUCCUCUGAUGAGAACAAUCAAUCACUGCACUGGAAGAACUUUUUGACCUUCUGGGCUCUCGGAAGCUUUGGGAGCUUCCGUAUCUCUUGCGUCUGUUCUAGAGGGACCGCUUAAUUUGAUAAAAGUUGAUAUUUGAGAAGGUAAGGACAGGCCAUUGGAGGAGGCCCUCCAAGAGGCAGGUUUUUAGUCUUGUCAAUUUAAACUGAUCACAAACUACCAUUGAAACACAAGAGAACCACGUUUGUUUAAAGCAGACCAAUCCUUACAGACUCUUUUCUCUGGAGAAAAUCCACUCCGAUUCGAACUCCUAAGUCCGAUCAUAAGCAGUGAAAAUCCUACUAGACUUGGAAAUCAACUCCUCCUCCCCCCCCCCCCCCUCACUUCCGUACCAGAUCCUUCUGGGAUUACACUGAAAUUCAGCUGCCUCCAGCACUACCAAGGCGUGAGACUGUUCUGGAGUUCUGGUCCCUCAGCAGUGAGCACUGAAGCCCUGCCUCGACUGGACGAGAACCACCAGGGGAGACGAGAGAGAAGCACCUGAACUUACAAGCCUUAAAAAACCUACUACACUCAAAAUCUCACAGAGCGACCUCUUCUUCCUUCCUCUUUCCUGCGUUCGACUGGUGCCAUCAGCCUAUAAAAAAAAAAAUAAUAAUAAAAUACGAUAGCAAACUGAUCCUAUCCCGACUCUUCCUGAGCUGCUUUGCUUGAUGAAAUGCUGCACCUCGGCUCUUUAUCUCUAAACCAGCAUCUGCCAGUGAUGUACGAGACGGAUAACACGUUCGAAGGACAGAUAACAAGGUUCUGGUUCCCCAGCCUGUGCUCUUUGCAUGUGUUUACAUUUGAUAAGCUGCCCCCAGGGUGUCGCACCUGAUCUGGGACUCGGAGAAGCGUGAUCUGGAGCGCAUCACUUCCUGUCAAACUGACAACACGUUGAUUUGGGGAUUGCCCUGGUGUUGCCAGGGUUAAGAAAUGCAAUAGUGACUGGAGUGGUGUUGCGCUAUAUUGUGUUGCGUUGACUGUCGUGGCGUAGCGUGGAGUUUACUAUGCCUAUCUAUGCUAUGCUACGCUAACAGGUCUUCUGGCAGGCAGCACGUAAGCAGUAGGACAGUGUUGUAAUGUGAUUUAUGCAAGAAAUGAUAUUCAUAUAUAAACACAGGUCAAGUAUAACAUUAUGACCACCUCCUAGUUUCUACAACCAUUAUCUAUAUUUUCAACUCCACUAAGCAUAUAAGAGCAAUUUGUAGUUCUGUAAUUUGAUGAUUACAAGCUAUAGUUGUUUUGUUUCGCUGCAUACUUUAUCUUCAGGACUUCCAAAGAGCAAAUAUUAUUUGGGUGGUUGGUCAUUCUCAGCUCUGCAGUGUAUGGAAGUCCUUUAUCACCACUUGGGAAAAAAAGGUGGUCCUCCACUGUCAUGAUUACGAGAUGCUAAUUUAUUGUUUUUAGGUUCUUAGUCAUAAUUACAAGAUACUAAUUCUUUACAGAUCUACUGAGUCAUAAAUACAAGAUGCUAAGUCGCUAUUUUGAGAUGCCAAGUUACAAUUACGAGAGUCACAUUUACGAGAUACUGAGUCACAAUUACGAAAUGCUAAGUCACAAUUACAAGAUACUAAGUCAUUAUUUUGGUACGUCACAAUUACGAAAAGUUAUUUUGAGUCAUAAUAGAUGUACUAAGUCUUAAUUACGAGAUACUAAUUCAUUAUUGUGACAUACUAAGUCAUAAAUGAGAAUGCCCCCGACUUAGUAUCUCAUAAUUAAGACUACCUAUCUCAUAAUUAUUAAUGAUCAUUAAUUAUAAUUUUUUUCCAAGGGGUGGAAAUGCCCUUCCAUGGCGGUGACAUGAGUUGGCACAGUGUUUAAAAACUCCAGCAGCACUGCUGCUGCUGAUCCCACUCAUACCAGCAUAAAACACACACACACUCUUAAACUCUCCCUACCUAUAGCUGGUAAAAAUAAUGUCAGUGAUUACAAGAUGCAGUCGAAAGGACUACCGGUACUCAGUCCAGCAGUGGCACUGAGGUGUUUAAAAACUCCAAACAGCACAAGAUGCACUACUAACACACGCUGAGAAUGAUCCACCACCCGAAUAAUUAACAGCUGCUCUGUGGUGGCCCUGUGGGGUCCUGGCCCAUUGGAGAAAGAGGUAAAAUGAGGAUGGUAAAGUAUGCAAAAGACAGUCUGUAAUUACAGAGCUACAAAUGCUUCUAGCUCAGUGGAGCUUAAAAAAAAAAAUACAAUUACUGAUGUGGUAACAAAAAGGUGGUCAAUGUUCUGCUUGAUCAGUGAAUGUACCUUAAUUUUUUUUACAUUGUUUAACACCUCUGUAUGCUUCCUGACAUCAUGCUGGUAAAAAAAAAGAAGAAAUUGUGAUGGUAUUUGUUCCCUGUUUACACAGCUUUGCCAAUGAAUCCAAUCAUUUUUGUAUGUGUUUUAAUUGUCUGAGUAGCUUAAAAAAAAGGUAACUUUUGCUGGAUUAGGCAUGUAAGUACUUACCUCCACAAACUUGAUAUUUCACUCUAUACCAAAAUAUUCCUGUUUUGUAGCUGCAAGGCAACGACCUUCGUUAUACUUACUGUAGCUUAGCUGUGUUCAGUGACCUUACUGACCUGCGCCUGUAUUCAUAAAGCUUCUCAAAGCAGAAAGAUGGAAUUAAUGCUGGUCUAGGAUCAGAUAUAAAAGAUGAACACAUGCACAACACUUAAGUGUUUUAUAGUAUGCCUAUAUAUGUAAAAUUCCCCACGUAAAUCAGGUUAGUUUCAAAAAAUACUACUAUAAAAACAAGCCUAACCUGAACUACAGUUCUUCUGAGAACUUUUACUGCUUACUAGUAUCACAACAGUUAACCUCAGCUCACACUCCACUGUAUAUUAACCCUUUCAGACCCUGCAUCCAUUACAAUGCAUAUCAUGUAUUUUUCUUUAUUUAUUACAAACCAGCCGAUGAACAAGUUUAUAAACGGUAAAAUUAGCUUUUUACUGUUUAGGGAUGGUUUAUGAAAUAAAAAGGUCAAUAUACAAUAGAAAUAUUACACACAGGCUUCCAAUGCAAUGAAACAAAAAUUGUAUUAAUUUAGUUAAUUCAAUUUAUUUGCUAUAUAUAUACUUUAUAGUAAAAUAUUAGUCAUCUUUCUGUGCAUUACAGACAAAAAAAAAAAAACUGCAUUUUUACAUAUUUUUCCCCAUCACUGGAGAUAAAUGUAGCACAGACGACAAACACUUUCCUUCGUUGCCUCACUACAGCCACCUUCUGACAGUUUGAACAAUUGAUUAUUUUAUUUUUUCUAUUUUGCAUUAAUAAAAAGAAAAACUUCCAGCAUACAGGUAGAUCAGCAAAUGUAAUUUAAGAUUUAAGACAUAUUUAUUUGCAAAACAAAACAUGUUUAGGUUUAAAACAGGGAAUUUGACAACAAAAGACCCUCAAGCUGGACCAUCUACAAGUGAAGCAGCCACUGUAUCUCUGACCAACCAGUCAAGAACCAAAAAAAAGCAAAAAAUAAAUAAAUGAAUAAAAUACAGCAGUGAGCACCUAGCACUAGGCUUUACUUGCACAGAAUUAAAACAAUAUUUGUGCUGUUUUGGGGUUUAAACAGCAAAUAGAGUAUUCUUGGGGGCUGUGAAAAGUUUUGCAUUGGGUUGUAAGUUGCAAGAGGUUGGGAACCUCUGGUCAGCUUUCUUUUUUUUUUUCUUUUUUUUUAACUAUAGGCCUUGACCCUAGAUCAGCACUUCUGCUCUGAGAAGCCUGAUGAAUACAGGUCCGGUGGUGCAGCUCGACACUGAUGAAAUAUGACUGCUGUGAAUUUCUGAAAGCUCAUGUAUUUUUAUUUUUCUAUUUGAUGAAGUCACAACUUUUGCAUCUUAGAUACGAGACACUGAGCGACUGACCAGGCUGAAUAAACCAGUUUGUAUUAUAAUGCUGAUGUGUGCUCCUUUUUUAUUUUUUUAUUUAUUAUUUUUUAAAAUUAAGACUACACCUUUUCACAGUUUCACAUCUAUUAGUUACAAACUCAAUGGUUUUAUUAGUAGUAACUAAAUCACAUUAACAAUAUUCUUAUGACUUGCGCAGAUAAUGAUCGAUUUUUGAACUAAAUAUUUAUAUUAUGCUACGUUCACAUUAUAAGCCACGUUGCUCAAAUCCAAUUUUUUGCUCCAAUCAGAUUUGGCUAUUUUAAUGGUUCACAUUCACAAAUGUAAGUGACCUGUAUCUGUGUGUAAUGUGAACGAAUCUGUCCCUGAAACGCCUCACAUUUUCACAUUGAUACGUGUAUAAACAACACCUCUUCACAAACAACAAAAAAUGUCAUAUUUGAGAGACGACUCGUAGUUUUAUAAAGGUGAAAGAUGUGUUAGAAGCUCAUAUGUGGAGCAUCUUUUGCUGGAGUGGAGAGCAAACAGCUGGUCUGAAGAACAUGCUCAGGUCGAGGAGGUGAAAAAAGGAUAGGCGGUUUGCUUUUACUGUUUUUUCAGCUAUAGCUGCACAGCUGCACAAAGAGAUGUGUGUGGGUACGAGAAAGAAGCAUGUAGUGCAUGCGUAAAAGCAAAAAAAAUAAAAAUAAAAACCCAGGACCCCACCUGA